GACGUAGGUGGCGAACGUUAUCCGGAAUUAUUGGGCGUAAAGGAUGCGUAGAUGGUGUAGUAAGUUAUCGGUGGCAAAUCGAGGCUCAACCUCGUGGAAGUCGGUAAUACUGCUAUGCUAGAGGAUAGGAGAGGUUAACGGAACUCCCUGUGGAGCGGUGAAAUGCGUAGAUAUCAGGAGGAACACCGGUGGCGAAGGCGGGUCUCUGGGCCGUAACUGACGCUGAGGAGCGAAAGCAUGGGGAGCGAACAGG
rnacentral:rRNA from 1 species